GACGAACGCUGGCGGCGUGCUUAACACAUGCAAGUCAAGGGGCCGUAAGGCAACCGGCGAACGGGUGCGUAACACGUGAGCGACCUGCCCGCUUGUGGGGGAUAGCCGGCCCAACGGCCGGGUAAUACCGCAUACGCUUUUCGGGGGGCGAUCUCCCGACUUCGGUAAAGAUUUAUUCGCAGGCGGAGGGGCGUCGCGGCCUAUCAGCUAGUUGGCGAGGUAACGGCUCACCAAGGCGACGACGGGUAGCUGGUCGGAGAGGAGU
rnacentral:rRNA from 1 species